UACAGGGGGGGCAAGCGUUGUUCGGAAUUACUGGGCGUAAAGGGCUCGUAGGUGGCCGACUAAGUCAGACGUGAAAUCCCUCAGCUUAACUGGGGAACUGCGUCUGAUACUGGAUGGCUUGAGUUUGGGAGAGGGAUGCGGAAUUCCAGGUGUAGCGGUGAAAUGCGUAGAUAUCUGGAGGAACACCGGUGGCGAAGGCGGCAUCCUGGACCAACACUGACGCUGAGUGAGCGAAAGCCAGGGGAGCAAACGGG
rnacentral:rRNA from 1 species